GAUGAACGCUGGCGGCGUGCCUAAUACAUGCAAGUCGAGCGAACAGACGAGGAGCUUGCUCCUCUGACGUUAGCGGCGGACGGGUGAGUAACACGUGGAUAACCUACCUAUAAGACUGGGAUAACUUCGGGAAACCGGAGCUAAUACCGGAUAAUAUAUUGAACCGCAUGGUUCAAUAGUGAAAGACGGUUUUGCUGUCACUUAUAGAUGGAUCCCGGCCGCAUUAGCUAGUUGGUAGGGUAACGGCUUACCAAGGCAACGAUGCGUAGCCGACCUGAGAGGGUGGUCGGCCGCACUGGAAGUGAGACGCGGUCCAGACUCCUACGGGAGGCAGCAGUAGGGAAUCUUACGCAAUGGGCGAAAGCCUGGCGGAGCAGCGCCGCGUGAGUGAUGAAGAUCUUCGGAUCGUGAAACUCUGUUAUUAGGGAAAAACAAAUUUGUAAGUAACUAUGCACGUCUUGACGGUACCGAAUCAGAAAGCCACGGCUAACUACGUG
rnacentral:rRNA from 1 species